rnacentral:rRNA from 1 species
UACGUAGGGGGCUAGCGUUGUCCGGAAUCAUUGGGCGUAAAGCGCGUGUAGGCGGUCCGGUAAGUCCGCUGUGAAAGUCGAGGGCUCAACCCUCGAAUGCCGGUGGAUACUGUCGGGCUUGAGUACGGGAGAGGCGAGUGGAAUUCCUGGUGUAGCGGUGAAAUGCGCAGAUAUCAGGAAGAACACCCGUGGCGAAGGCGGUUCUCUGGGACGGUACUGACGCUGAGACGCGAAAGCGUGGGGAGCGAACAGG